UCUUAUUUUCAGGGAAAGAAUAACUGACCACGGAGGACGAAGAAGAAGAGAGAGAGAGAGAGACAGAGAGAGAGACAGAGAGGGAGACAAGAAUAAGAGAAAAAAUGGAAAAGUGAAAAAGAAAAUAGGAAAAGAAAACUGAAAAGAGAAAGAAAACGCCUAUAAGAGAUUUUGUUAAACCAGCUACUGCUCUGAGUAGUCAUUCGAUCGUUUUCGGUUCUAUCGCUUCUCUUUCUUCUCUCGUUCUGUUUGGUUCUCGAGUCUCUCAGAUACUUGUCUUAAUCUUUUGCAUUUGAUCUUAAGCUAUUUUCUUAUCAAGAUCGCUUCCAGUUUAACGAAUUUUAGGGUAUUGUUUUAUGGAUUCUGUGUCUCGCGAAAUUUUUUGGUUGUUUUAGUUCAUUUUCGUGCAAUUUUUUUGGAGUGUGAGAAGGAUCUGUGUGGCCCUUCGUUCCUAUCGUUUUGAUUUUGUUGCUUUUUUUCAGGUUUUUCUUUUCGCUUCUUUCAUUUUCCCCUUUGAUAGUUGUUCUUUUUUGGUUUCUUUGAAUAAGUUGGUUUGUUUAUCUCUGGCCUCGUUGAAUUGGGCAUUUCUCUUUUACCAAUAAUUUACAGAUUGCGGGUUUCUGAUUGUGAUUUAUGGGCAGUGUAUCAGACCAUUGCUACAAAGUUUUCUACCAUUUUUCUUGAACUUUUAGACUUUUAGUUUUGUGUGUUUUUCCCUAAUUGAACAUAUUUUUUAUUAGUUUGGGGAUUUCUGAAUCGGUGAAGUGGAGGUCUGUGUUGUCAAUGCAGGAGUUGAAGUUUUUAUUUGCAGUGAUUUUUACUUUUCCAUUUUGUUUGUCUUGCAUUCUAUGUUUGAUUCUUGAAUUUUCAGUAGAAUGAUAUGGGCAUUUUGGUUCUUAUUCGUUGUCUAUGAGCAUCAGUUCAAUGCUUGUGUAAUUUUUAAUCCGAUAUUCACAUUUAUGUUUAUCUUCAUUUCAAUGCUUUGAAUCAUGAGUGUCCAUAGGAAGUAAGCUAAAACUUAUCAAGCACAUUGCCGUUAGUGUUCAGAAAGGACAUUGGGAUAGGAGAAAUUCUGUGCUUGGCAGCAAAUUGCCUCUUUACAUAGUACUUCAACUGCAGUUGGCACCUCUUCCCCUAAACAGUACUGGAGAAGAUUACUGGUGCGGCAGAGAAGUGUGUAAAUUGAACCCACCUUUUCCUCCGGAAUAAAGGAAUAGGAUUUUAGGUGGAAGGUAUUAAAUCCAAUGCAACGGCAAGGGAAUAUCAUUGAAUCCUUACCUGAAACAGUUGACAUUGAUCAUGGAUCUGUUUCAAACAAUUCUGGUAUAAACCCUCAGAAUUCCUUGAAUAAUGUGCUUAAUCCAGUGGACAGCUUAUUGCCAAGUUAUGCAGUAUCUUCUGGUGGGUCAACUUGUAUAAAUUUGAACGCUCAUGAUGUCCAGAGCUUAAGUGGUUGGAAUCCCGGUGAACCUAGCCUUAGAGUGGGUUCCCAAGACCAGGUCAAUAAUGACAGGGUGAAGAUGGAACCGGAGCUGUCUUCUACUUGUAAUGUGCGUGCUGGCAGUAGCCUUCGGGUAGAUGAAAGGCGACUUGAGCCAACUAAUAUUCUUUUUCCUGGGAGGCUCCACACCAGCCACAAUCGGAAUCAGGUUAGAAGUGGACCUUUAUUUUUGCAAGGUUCUAGCUCCAGUCAUAAUUCACAAAAUGUGCAUUAGAAUAUGAGGCAUGCGGGGAUAAGUGGUAAUGGUGGGCAGAAUACAGGAGUCAGUAUCUACCCUAGCGCUAGUUCUUCAAGUAACGGUGAGACUUCAUCUGGAAACUCUAGCCCAUGUGCUGGAGGAAAAUAUGGGCUUCUCAGGUUCUUCACUCAGGCAAUUGGGGUUUAUCCUGCAAGAGAAAGGCGCUUGAAGGUACUCAGGUGGAAGUUCAAGCAGCUAUACACAAGCUGAAAGUUCUGUUUUGGCAUACUGGUUCUGGUCGAUAUGAUUCUUCUAGCAGCUUAAAUUUGUCUAUGCCCUUGAGGAAUUCUCCAAGUCCACCUGAUCAACCAACUCCAAGAAUUGGGGUUGGUCCAGGGGAGUAGCUUCCGAUGCUUUUCCUUCUAGUGUUGGAGGGAACACAGAAAGCACAGUGAGAAAUUCUGGUAGGAGAGUAAAUCUAGGGCAGCAACAGGAAUCUUCACAUUUCAGUCUACCAUCAACUGGGUUUAUUAGACAGCAGAAUAUUUCACCCUUUCAUCAUAAAAAUCGAAGUAGGAAGAAAAGGGCAAAAGGUUCUAUAUCAUUGAAACAAUUUCUAAACCGCCCAAAUAUUUGUUUUAAUAGAAUAAUUUCUAAACCACCUUCUUUCAAGCUAGCUUAAACUCCUCCGAGAUCCCAUUGCUCUCGGAAUCUAUACGGUGACUUUGACCUAGAUGGCACAUAAACCCAAUGAAUUAAUAAUCAUUAUUAUUCAAGGAU